CAUGAGGGAAACUGUUUCCGGCUGAAUCAGUAGGAUUCGCGCCAGCAGAGAGAGUGGUUGGGAUGGGACGUGUGUGGAAACGCUGUGAAACUGAUCACCUCAUGACUGUUUUAACAGAAUUAAAUAAACCACCUGAGGCGCGAGAUGGAGUCGAAUCUUUUAAUUUUCAAACACAACGCAGAUACAAGCCGUUACACUGGGGUACCUCUGGCAGCUCUGACAGUGGACCAUAGGGUAGUCUGCUGUCCAUGGCUACCUGCCGCAUCAUCACCUCAGCCACCCCACUCUGAGGCGGCACAGGUCUUCCGUGAGGUGCGGGUCCUUUGAUGGGGAAAUACCCAUCAAAAUGUCCCCCGUGUGAGCAGCGUGGUCCUCCUGGACCUCGGGCUGUUGCAGCCAAUUAAUUACCACGUUAGGCAGACCGAGGUAUUCACUGAGUAAAAAAAUCAGUGUGGCGGUAGACAGUGGAGUUUAAUGGUUUUAUGCCGUAGCUAUUUUGAUUCUUGAUAUAGGCAAUUUAUUUUUGUCUUUAUUCUGAGACCUCCAAUAAUUCAAUGCAAUAAUUUAAAUGUCUUACUGAAUUGUAUAUAUGCAAACAGGGAAGGAAACCCUGCAUUUGCAUUUUGU